ACAAACUUGGUCAUUUAGAGGAAGUAAAAGUCGUAACAAGGUCUCCGUUGGUGAACCAGCGGAGGGAUCAUUAGCGAGUUGAUAAUAGACUCCAAACCCAUGUGAACAUACCUAUUGUUGCCUCGGCAGGCCGUGCCGCGCGGGUAGAACUUACCCUGUAGCUGGGAGGACCUACCCCCGCAGCACACACUCGGGCCUGCCGAAGGACCACUAAACUCUGUUUUACACCUGUAUUUCUGAGUCUACUAUAUAAGUUAAAACUUUCAACAACGGAUCUCUUGGUUCUGGCAUCGAUGAAGAACGCAGC
rnacentral:misc_RNA from 1 species